GACGAACGCUGGCGGCGUGCUUAACACAUGCAAGUCGAACGGAAAGGCCCCUUCGGGGGUACUCGAGUGGCGAACGGGUGAGUAACACGUGAGUAACCUGCCCUUGACUUCGGGAUAACUUCAGGAAACUGGGGCUAAUACCGGAUAGGAAUCCUUGCUGCAUGGUGGGGGUUGGAAAGCUUCGGCGGUUUUGGAUGGACUCGCGGCUUAUCAGCUUGUUGGUGGGGUAGUGGCUUACCAAGGCUUUGACGGGUAGCCGGCCUGAGAGGGCGACCGGCCACAUUGGGACUGAGAUACGGCCCAGACUCCUACGGGAGGCAGCAGUGGGGAAUAUUGCACAAUGGGCGGAUGCCUGAUGCAGCAACGCCGCGUGCGGGAUGACGGCCUUCGGGUUGUAAACCGCUUUCAGCAGGGGCGAAGCUUGUGGUGACGGUGCCUGCAGAAGAAGCACCGGCUAACUACGUG
rnacentral:rRNA from 1 species